CUUGCUCCCUGAUGUUAGCGGCGGACGGGUGAGAAACACGUGGGUAACCUGCCUGUAAGACUGGGAUAACUCCGGGAAACCGGGGCUAAUACCGGAUGCUUGUUUGAACCGCAUGGUUCAAACAUAAAAGGUGGCUUCGGCUACCACUUACAGAUGGACCCGCGGCGCAUUAGCUAGUUGGUGAGGUAAUGGCUCACCAAGGCAACGAUGCGUAGCCGACCUGAGAGGGUGAUCGGCCACACUGGGACUGAGACACGGCCCAGACUCCUACGGGAGGCAGCAGUAGGGAAUCUUCCGCAAUGGACGAAAGUCUGACGGAGCAACGCCGCGUGAGUGAUGAAGGUUUUCGGAUCGUAAAGCUCUGUUGUUAGGGAAGAACAUCUGACGGAGAACGCCGCGUGAGUGAUGAAGGUUUUCGGAUCGUAAAGCUCUGUUGUUAGGGAAGAACAAGUGCCGUUCAAAUAGGGCGGCACCUUGACGUACCUAACCAGAAAGCCACGGCUAACUACGUGCCAGCAGCCGCGGUAAUACGUAGGUGGCAAGCGUUGCCGGAAUUAUUGGGCGUAAAGGGCUCGCAGGCGGUUUCUUAAGUCUGAUGUGAAAGCCCCCGGCUCAACGGGGAGGGUCAUUGGAAACUGGGGAACUUGAGUGCAGAAGAGGAGAGUGGAAUUCCACGUGUAGCGGUGAAAUGCGUAGAGAUGUGGAGGAACACCAGUGGCGAAGGCGACUCUCUGGUCUGUAACUGACGCUGAGGAGCGAAAGCGUGGGGAGCGAACAGGAUUAGAUACCCUGGUAGUCCACGCCGUAAACGAUGAGUGCUAAGUGUUAGGGGGUUUCCGCCCCUUAGUGCUGCAGCUAACGCAUUAAGCACUCCGCCUGGGGAGUACGGUCGCAAGACUGAAACUCAAAGGAAUUGACGGGGGCCCGCACAAGCGGUGGAGCAUGUGUUUAAUUCGAAGCAACGCGAAGAACCUUACCAGGUCUUGACAUCCUCUGACACCCCUAGAGAUAGGGCUUCCCCUUCGGGGGCAGAGUGACAGGUGGUGCAUGGUUGUCGUCAGCUCGUGUCGUGAGAUGUUGGGUUAAGUCCCGCAACGAGCGCAACCUUGAUCUUAGUUGCCAGCAUUCAGUUGGGCACUCUAAGGUGACUGCCGGUGACAAACCGGAGGAAGGUGGGGAUGACGUCAAAUCAUCAUGCCCCUUAUGACCUGGGCUACACACGUGCUACAAUGGACAGAACAAAGGGCAGCGAGACCGCGAGGUUAGCCAAUCCCACAAAUCUGUUCUCAGUUCGGAUCGCAGUCUGCAACUCGACUGCGUGAAGCUGGAAUCGCUAGUAAUCGCGGAUCAGCAUGCCGCGGUGAAUACGUUCCCGGGCCUUGUACACACCGCCCGUCACACCACGAGAGUUUGUAACACCCGAGUCGGUGAGGUAACCUUUAUGGAGCCAGCCGCCGAAGGUGGGACAGAUGAUUGGGGUGAAGUC
rnacentral:rRNA from 1 species